rnacentral:rRNA from 1 species
GUAGGGACCAAGCGUUGUCCGGAAUUAUUGGGCGUAAAGAGCUCGUAGGCGGUUCGGUAAGUCGGGUGUGAAAAUCCAGGGCUUAACCCUGGGACGCCACCCGAUACUGCUGUGACUAGAGUCCGGUAGAGGAGCGUGGAAUUUCUGGUGUAGCGGUGAAAUGCGCAGAUAUCAGAAGGAACACCAGCGGCGAAGGCGGCGCUCUGGGCCGGUACUGACGCUGAGGAGCGAAAGCGUGGGGAGCAAACAGGAUUAGAUACCCUGGUAGUCCACGCCGUAAACGUUGGGCACUAGGUAUGGGUCUUAUCAACGGAUUCCGUGCCGUAGCUAACGCAUUAAGUGCCCCGCCUGGGGAGUACGGCCGCAAGGCUA